GACGAACGCUGGCGGCGUGCCUAAUACAUGCAAGUCGAGCGGACUGAAUGGGAGCUUGCUCUUGUUCGGUCAGCGGCGGACGGGUGAGUAACACGUGGGCAACCUGCCCGCAAGACCGGGAUAACUCCGGGAAACCGGAGCUAAUACCGGAUAACACCGAAGACCGCAUGGUCUUUGGUUGAAAGGCGGCGCAAGCUGCCACUUGCGGAUGGGCCCGCGGCGCAUUAGCUAGUUGGUGAGGUAACGGCUCACCAAGGCGACGAUGCGUAGCCGGCCUGAGAGGGUGAGCGGCCAAACUGGGACGGAGACACGGCCCAGACUACUACGGGAGGCAGCAGUAGGGAAUCUUCCGCAAUGGGCGAAAGCCUGGCGGAGCGACGCCGCGUGAGCGAAGAAGGCCUUCGGGUCGUAAAGCUCUGUUGUGAGGGACGAAGGAGCGCCGUUUGAAGAAGGCGGCGCGGUGACGGUACCUCACGAGGAAGCCCCGGCUAACUACGUG
rnacentral:rRNA from 1 species